rnacentral:rRNA from 1 species
GUGGGGAAUCUUAGACAAUGGGGGAAACCCUGAUCUAGCCAUGCCGCGUGAGCGAUGAAGGCCUUAGGGUUGUAAAGCUCUUUCAGCUGGGAAGAUAAUGACGGUACCAGCAGAAGAAGCCCCGGCUAACUCCGUGCCAGCAGCCGCGGUAAUACGGAGGGGGCUAGCGUUGUUCGGAAUUACUGGGCGUAAAGCGCACGUAGGCGGAUCAGAAAGUCAGAGGUGAAAUCCCAGGGCUCAACCUUGGAACUGCCUUUGAAACUCCUGAUCUUGAGGUCGAGAGAGGUGAGUGGAAUUCCGAGUGUAGAGGUGAAAUUCGUAGAUAUUCGGAGGAACACCAGUGGCGAAGGCGGCUCACUGGCUCGAUACUGACGCUGAGGUGCGAAAGCGUGGGGAGCAAACAGGAUUAGAAACCCCGGUAGUCC